AUCAUCUCAAGGCAAAAAGUCUUCUUUUUGCAAUUGGAUGUUGAAGGUCUUGCCGGCUUUCUUGGUUGGCUCCUUUUAAAUACAUUAGCAGGACUUUUGUGCAGGACUUGCUCCAGUUUGAUACAUUGCUAUCUGAGCUGUUGCGCCAGCAGUGUCAUUUGCUUCGAAUUGUCUUCGGACUUUUGUCAUCUUGACAAGAAACACCUUUGA
rnacentral:misc_RNA from 1 species